GCUGAGGUGGUGGAAUUGGCAGACACGCAGGACUCAAAAUCCUGUGGCCGCAAGGUCAUGCGGGUUCGACUCCCGCCCUCAGCA
rnacentral:tRNA from 2 species